rnacentral:tRNA from 1 species
GGAAAUAUGGCAGAGAGUAUGCAAUCGGCUUGAAACCGAUAGACAAAGGUUUAAAUUACCUUUUGUUUCCA